ACUCCUGCGGGAGGCAGCAGUGGGGAAUAUUGGACAAUGGGCGCAAGCCUGAUCCAGCCAUGCCGCGUGAGUGAUGAAGGCCCUAGGGUUGUAAAGCUCUUUCACCGGUGAAGAUAAUGACGGUAACCGGAGAAGAAGCCCCGGCUAACUUCGUGCCAGCAGCCGCGGUAAUACGAAGGGGGCUAGCGUUGUUCGGAUUUACUGGGCGUAAAGCGCACGUAGGCGGACUAUUAAGUCAGGGGUGAAAUCCCGGGGCUCAACCCCGGAACUGCCUUUGAUACUGGUAGUCUUGAGUUCGAGAGAGGUGAGUGGAAUUCCGAGUGUAGAGGUGAAAUUCGUAGAUAUUCGGAGGAACACCAGUGGCGAAGGCGGCUCACUGGCUCGAUACUGACGCUGAGGUGCGAAAGCGUGGGGAGCAAACAGGAUUAGAAACCCCGGUAGUCCCAUG
rnacentral:rRNA from 1 species